rnacentral:rRNA from 1 species
UACGAGGGGGGCAAGCGUUGUUCGGAAUUAUUGGGCGUAAAGGGCGCGUAGGCGGUGCGGUAAGACUGUGGUGAAAUCUUCGGGCUCAACUCGAAGCCUGCCGCGGUGACUGCCGUGCUGGAGUGUGGGAGAGGUGAGUGGAAUUCCGAGUGUAGAGGUGAAAUUCGUAGAUAUUCGGAAAGAACACCAGUGGCGAAGGGCGGCUCACUGGACUGGGUAUUGACGCUGAUGUGCGAAAAGCGUGGGGAGCAACAGGGAUUAAGAAACCCUUGG